rnacentral:rRNA from 1 species
GAUAAACGCUGGCGGCGUGCUUAACACAUGCAAGUCGAACGAAACACCUUAUUUGAUUUUCUUCGGAACUGAAGAUUUGGUGAUUGAGUGGCGGACGGGUGAGUAACGCGUGGGUAACCUGCCCUGUACAGGGGGAUAACAGUCAGAAAUGACUGCUAAUACCGCAUAAGACCACAGCACCGCAUGGUGCAGGGGUAAAAACUCCGGUGGUACAGGAUGGACCCGCGUCUGAUUAGCUGGUUGGUGAGGUAACGGCUCACCAAGGCGACGAUCAGUAGCCGGCUUGAGAGAGUGAACGGCCACAUUGGGACUGACACGGCCCAAACUCCUACGGGAGGCAGCAGUGGGGAAUAUUGCACAAUGGGGGAAACCCUGAUGCAGCGACGCCGCGUGAGUGAAGAAGUAUUUCGGUAUGUAAAGCUCUAUCAGCAGGGAAGAAAAUGACGGUACCUGACUAAGAAGCCCCGGCUAACUACGUG